CCCUUAGAUGUUCUGGGCCGCACGCGCGCUACACUGAAGCUAUCAACACGUUUUCCCUCCCUGAGAAGGGCGGGUAACCUUUUGAAUCAGCUUCGUGGUAGGGAUCGGGGCUUGCAAUUGUUCCCCGUGAACCAGGAAUUCCUAGUAGACGCGAGUCAUAAGCUCGCAUCGAUUAAGUCCCUGCCCUUUGUACACACCACCCGUCGCUACUACCGAUUGAACGUUUUAGUGAGGCAUUUGGACCGACGCAUCUCAGUUUAACCGCUGGUUUGUGUUGGAAAGACUUCCAAACUUGAGCGUUUAGAGGAAGUAAAAGUCGUAACA
rnacentral:rRNA from 1 species